ACAACGGAGAGUUUGAUCCUGGCUCAGGAUGAACGCUGGCGGCGUGCUUAACACAUGCAAGUCGAACGCACCUUCGGGUGAGUGGCGGACGGGUGAGUAACGCGUGAGAAUCUGCCCCAAGGAGGGGGAUAACGGCUGGAAACGGCCGCUAAUACCCCAUAUGCCGAGAGGUGAAACGAGUAUUCGCCUUGGGAUGAGCUCGCGUCUGAUUAGCUAGUUGGUGGGGUAAGAGCCUACCAAGGCAUCGAUCAGUAGCUGGUCUGAGAGGAUGAUCAGCCACACUGGGACUGAGACACGGCCCAGACUCCUACGGGAGGCAGCAGUGGGGAAUUUUCCGCAAUGGGCGAAAGCCUGACGGAGCAACGCCGCGUGAGGGAUGAAGGCCUCUGGGCUGUAAACCUCUUUUCUCAAGGAAGAAGAUCUGACGGUACUUGAGGAAUAAGCCACGGCUAAUUCCGUGCCAGCAGCCGCGGUAAUACGGGAGUGGCAAGCGUUAUCCGGAAUUAUUGGGCGUAAAGCGUCCGCAGGCGGCCUUGAAAGUCUGUUGUUAAAGCGUGGAGCUUAACUCCAUUUCAGCAAUGGAAACUAGAAGGCUAGAGUGUGGUAGGGGCAGAGGGAAUUCCCGGUGUAGCGGUGAAAUGCGUAGAUAUCGGGAAGAACACCAGUGGCGAAGGCGCUCUGCUGGGCCAUAACUGACGCUCAUGGACGAAAGCCAGGGGAGCGAAAGGGAUUAGAUACCCCUGUAGUCCUGGCCGUAAACGAUGAACACUAGGUGUCGGGGGAAUCGACCCCCUCGGUGUCGUAGCCAACGCGUUAAGUGUUCCGCCUGGGGAGUACGCACGCAAGUGUGAAACUCAAAGGAAUUGACGGGGGCCCGCACAAGCGGUGGAGUAUGUGGUUUAAUUCGAUGCAACGCGAAGAACCUUACCAGGGUUUGACAUCCUGCGAAUCCCUUGGAAACUUGGGAGUGCCUUCGGGAGCGCAGAGACAGGUGGUGCAUGGCUGUCGUCAGCUCGUGUCGUGAGAUGUUGGGUUAAGUCCCGCAACGAGCGCAACCCACGUCUUUAGUUGCCAGCAUUGAGUUGGGCACUCUAGAGAGACCGCCGGUGAUAAACCGGAGGAAGGUGUGGAUGACGUCAAGUCAUCAUGCCCCUUACAUCCUGGGCUACACACGUACUACAAUGCUACGGACAAAGGGCAGCAAACUCGCGAGAGCUAGCAAAUCCCAUAAACCGUGGCUCAGUUCAGAUCGUAGGCUGCAACUCGCCUACGUGAAGGAGGAAUCGCUAGUAAUCGCAGGUCAGCAUACUGCGGUGAAUACGUUCCCGGGCCUUGUACACACCGCCCGUCACACCAUGGAAGUUGGCCACGCCCGAAGUCGUUACUCCAACCCUUGUGGAGGAGGACGCCGAAGGUGGGGCUGAUGACUGGGGUGAAGUCGUAACAAGGUAGCCGUACCGGAAGGUGCGGCUGGAUCACCUCCUAA
rfam:Cyanobium sp. PCC 7001 scf_1106012173546 genomic scaffold, whole genome shotgun sequence.